UGAGGAAUAUUGGUCAAUGGACGGAAGUCUGAACCAGCCAAGUAGCGUGCAGGAUGACGGCCCUAUGGGUUGUAAACUGCUUUUGUAUGGGGAUAAAGUUAGGGACGUGUCCCUAUUUGCAGGUACCAUACGAAUAAGGACCGGCUAAUUCCGUGCCAGCAGCCGCGGUAAUACGGAAGGUCCAGGCGUUAUCCGGAUUUAUUGGGUUUAAAGGGAGCGUAGGCUGGAGAUUAAGUGUGUUGUGAAAUAUACCGGCUCAACCGGUGGCUUGCAGCGCGAACUGGUCGACUUGAGUAUGCAGGAAGUAGGCGGAAUUCAUGGUGUAGCGGUGAAAUGCUUAGAUAUCAUGACGAACUCCGAUUGCGCAGGCAGCUUACUGUAGCAUAACUGACGCUGAUGCUCGAAAGUGCGGGUAUCAAACAGG
rnacentral:rRNA from 1 species